CAGUAGCCGCGGUAAUACGGAGGGGGCUAGCGUUGUUCGGAAUUACUGGGCGUAAAGCGCACGUAGGCGGCUUGUUAAGUUAGAGGUGAAAGCCUGGGGCUCAACACCAGAACUGCCUUUAAGACUGCAUCGCUUGAACGUCGGAGGGGUGAGUGGAAUUCCGAGUGUAGAGGUGAAACUCGUAGAUAUUCGGAAGAACACCAGUGGCGAAGGCGGCUCGCUGGACAAGUAUUGACGCUGAGGUGCGAAAGCGUGGGGAGCAAACAGGAUUAGAUACCCGCGUAGUCCCUGUCUCUUAUAA
rnacentral:rRNA from 1 species